rnacentral:rRNA from 1 species
UACGGAGGGAGCUAGCGUUGUUCGGAAUUACUGGGCGUAAAGCGCACGUAGGCGGAUAUUUAAGUCAGGGGUGAAAUCCCGGGGCUCAACCCCGGAACGGCCUUUGAUACUGGGUAUCUUGAGUGUGGUAGAGGUGAGUGGAAUUGCGAGUGUAGAGGUGAAAUUCGUAGAUAUUCGCAGGAACACCAGUGGCGAAGGCGGCUCACUGGACCACAACUGACGCUGAGGUGCGAAAGCGUGGGGAGCAAACAGG